rnacentral:lncRNA from 1 species
UUGCACUCCUGGACAUCAUCCCAGAGAAAUAAAACUUACACCCACACAAAAACCCACACGCGAAUGUUACAGCAGUUUUACGUGGAAUAGCCAAAACCUGCAAACAACCCGGAUGUCCUUCAACAGGCAAAUAGUUAACCAAGCUGUGCUCCAUCUGCACCAUGGAAUACUACGCAGCAACGAAAAGGACUAACUGUUGACACAACAAACUGAAUGGAUUGACAGGGAAUUCUCCUGGAAAAAGCCAAUCCCAAGAGUUACAGGACAGUCCUGAGUGAGGCCACUUUGGAUGAGGUGGCCUCGGACCAACCCUGUGGCAGAGAGUAGACAUCACAUGGAGUGUGGGGAGCGAGGAAGUAAGUGGAGGAACUCUGGGGUCAGCAGGGAGAAGACAUGGACGCAGAGAUCGCCAGGUCACCUGGAGCCAGACAACUCACCUGCAGGCCGGGGGAGAGUUUGUGACCAUCCUCUGUCAACUGUCAACUUGAGAAGGUCAAUGCAGGGAACGACACUUUUCCUUCUUACUAGAACUGGUGUGCGUGCACACGUGCGUGCAUGCACACCCAGGCAUCUGCAGGCAGACCGUGGUAGGUGGGAUGCCAGCCCCACCACUAGCCAUCUGUGGUGCUGGGCUGGUUCCCAACCCUUCAAAACCUCAGUCUUCAUCAGUAAAGUGGCAAUAAGAAGAGUACCGUGGCGACGGUUGGGUGAGAUGGAGCAGUUAAGGCGCCCGGGAGCCGAGAAGACAGGAGAGAGGGAGGCUUGUGCGCAUCUUACGUUUUCUUCCACAUCCUGAGACACGACCCGCCUCUGACAACCCCCACUGUGUUCACUGUUCACCAUCUCCCCAGAUGGCUUUACUCCUCUUUGCUCCUUGUGACGAACUAUUGUGUGGGACAUUCUGCAAGGAAAAAUGUGCAAAGGAACUCCUAGCCACCAACCUCAGAGCAACAACAUUUCAAUAUUAAAUAUUAAGGCACCAAUAUGCUGGUCAAAGACAAAAACUUGUAGCUGUGAGAUAAAUAAGUCCUGGGGACGUCCCGUACAGCCUGGGGACUGAGGUUAC